AAAUAAUGUAUACACGCCGCUGCCUUAGAAGCACUAGGGCGAUAUGAAAAAACCGUACAUCGAAAACCGUAUUGGUGGGAUCAAGAUAUUUCGCAGGAAAUAACAAAGAAAAGAGAAUUGUAUCAAAAAUAUCUGAACACAAAAAACGUGGAAGACAGAAUACAUUAUAAAAGAAUGCAAGCGAGGAUCAGAAGAAAAAUAUG
rnacentral:lncRNA from 1 species